rnacentral:rRNA from 1 species
UCCGUAGGGGACAAGCGUUGUCCGGAAUUAUUGGGCGUAAAGCGCGUGUAGGCGGCUCGGUAAGUCUGCUGUGAAAGUCCAGGGCUCAACCCUGGGAUGCCGGUGGAUACUGUCGAGCUCGAGUCCGGAAGAGGCGAGUGGAAUUCCUGGUGUAGCGGUGAAAUGCGCAGAUAUCAGGAGGAACACCAAGGGCGAAGGCAGCUCGCUGGGACGUGACUGACGCUGAGACGCGAAAGCGUGGGGGGCAAACAGG